rnacentral:misc_RNA from 1 species
AAGUCGUAACAAGGUAACCGUAGGUGAACCUGCGGUUGGAUCAUUACCGAAAUUGCGCCACGCGUUUCGCCGGGUCCGCCCGGUCGACCGCGGCCAACACCUGUGAACCGUCCUUGUCUCUGGCGGCGGGACGGCCUUCAUGUGCUGCUUGCAGCCCUGGAGGACCGUCAGUCCGCUCGGGCAACCGAGCCUGCGACACCGCCGCCGCACACACACACAGACCCCUCUGUAUCGUACCGUCUGACAUUGUGUCUGCUCAAUGCAGUGACAACUUUUGGCAACGGAUCUCUUGGCUCUC